CUGCCCCUCGACGGACAGAGCCUUCAUCUGCUCCAGUAUCCCCAUGUCCGUCGCCCCAACAAUCAAGCCAAGUCUCCGCACCCUAUGGCCCCUCGCCCCCUCUGCCGCUCGUGCAGCAAUCACGGGUCAGGUUUAUGCCGUGAGAAUCGGUACGCCACGGUAGCAGGGAUAUGUGGAGCUGGGUGAAUCUUUGUGGUGCUCGGUUACCGAGUCCGGUGCCAGAACGGCAGCUCCAAUGUGGAUGCAAAACGAAUCGAGGGGAUAAUAAACAAGGAAAGGUUCGAUUUAGGCACUAGAGCAAUCGAACCGAGUAAGAGCAACUCCAAGAGUAUACUAAAAAAUUCUUCCCCAAAAUAAGAUAUUGGGAACUGUGCUAAAAAAUUCCUCCCUAAAAAAUGUACCAGCCUACAGCAGAAUGCUAAAAAACUAGUCUCCUAAUAUUUCAAAUCAGUCCACGUCAUCGUAUUGGACCCAUUUUAGAAUUCGUUUUUUCCCUUUAAAAAGGAUCACGCCGCCGGCUGGAAACCUCCUGUCGCCGCUGUUGAUUUCCUCACGCCAUCGAGUAAAUUUGGUCCUCUCGCACCAUCGCAACAUCAUCCAGACCCUAUAGCUUGCUGCUAGCUAUUCUUUUGUUGUUUACUAAGUUUAAAGGACAGUGUUCAGAGGAUAUAUCAGAUUCAGUAGCACUGUCAAUAACCUUCCAAAGACACAUAACAAUGUCACAAAGAGCGCCAACGCUGUCAGUUGUCCUCUUUGACUGCAGGAUAGCUCCAUUAUCUUCUUGUUCUGAGUUAAGGAAAGCUAGCAGGUUCUUGUACUCGAGAAGAUUAUCCUACAAAACAGCAAGAUUUGACAAGGAAUUAUUUGUGCAGUAGUACAGAAGCAAAGUAAAAGUUUGGAGUUGACGAAAGGUACCUUCUGCAAAUUUGUGCCACCGCCCGGUCCAUUGAGGCUAUGCAAUUGGCCAUCAGAUGAGCCAAGGAUAAGAUUUCAAUCAUAAUUCAUAGGUGCCAACUGAUGACGUAUUGAUUCAGUUAAUUCAAUUUGUAGAUGUCAGAAGCCAAGCUCUAAUUGCCAAUUAGCAAUUAUAAACUUUCCACAAUCCAACCUCAAUUAGGAAAAACAAGUUUGCGAGUCUAACCGAGAGCCUUUAACAGACCUGAGCUGCUAUUGAAGUAGGCGACGAGGAGAAUGACACCCUGCAGACCUGAACAGCUAAACCGUCAGUGUCAAAGGAGGGGGGAAUACCAGGACGACGAGGGCAAUGGUGAGCACGGGUGGCGCGCGCGACUUGGGGUGGAGCAGGCCAUCGACGGACGGUAGGCCCUCGUCUGCCACCUGCCGGCUCGGGUUCACCGACCUCCUAGACAUCCUCUUGCCCUCCCUCCCGAAUCCGGCCAGCCAUAGAAGCGCGUCAGCCGCAGAUCGGAAUCCCCUAUGGCGCGAGGAGGCGGAGGUACCUCUGUCAAUGGCACCGGUCGCCGGGAGAGGAGAUCCGCGUCCCGGCCUGCCACCACAUAGCGCUCACCGGUCACCGGGAGAGGAGAGCCGGCGCCGGGAGAGGAGGCCGCGCCGCCUGUCGCCGGGAGAGAGCUGCCGCCGGGAGAGAGCGCGCCAAAAAAAAUAGCACGGGAAGGGGGCGCGGGAACGGAGUUCGGGAGGAUUGGGGGAACACCGCGCGUUGCUAAAAUAUGCGGGGUGGUGGGGUGUUUUUUCACGUCGCUAAUCUUUUGGGGUAGUUUUGGGUGGACUGUUGGAGUUCAUUUUUUCUCUUUUUUUCCCAAAAGAAGAUAUUAGGAAUAAAAUUAGCAGCCUCUUGGAGUUGCUCUAAGUUAAAAAAAAUAUGAGCCUUCCCUGGAAACCGCCGCCCUGGCUGGAAGCCGCGGACCAGCGGCCGCCACCGAAUUGACCUCUCGACGUCGAGAUGUCGCGGAGGAGGGCCUCGUCCGGCCGCCUCUCUCAGAUAUGGCGACGGCAGAGCACCGGCGGCGGUUGGGAGUGCAGGGAGGCCACGGAGCACGAGCGGAAAGGAUCUAGGCUCCACCAGUGGUUGGGAGUGCGGAGUUGCGUUUGCAGCGACGGAUUUCGCGGCGGCGGGAGGGAGAUGAAAUGCGACGGACAGGGAGGGGAUCGGAUCGGAUCGGGUUGGGAUUUGGGAAGGCGACGAGUAGCCAACUCCGCUGGAAGUCGAGCCGGUUCGGCUCGGCCCAGCUUGUAAUGUCAUAGGGGAGGGUUAGGACGGUGCAGCUGUAGUCCUGUGAGUUGUGGCUACAGUGCGUCGCCCGAAAAUUUUGGCUGGUCACGUCGAGGAGCACGGGCGCCUCUCUGCGUGUCAGAGCCGUAUUCUGGGCGUGGGCGCCCCAUCGGUUGCAUUUAUGACGAGAUCAGUAGGGGCUCACAAGAUUUGCGCCCUCAUCUGCUGGUCCGCGCUCGUCCUCGGGUGAGGCGAAGCUCUGUCCUGUGGGUCCGGACGCGUCCGACCCAUCGUCCCGGGGUCAGGCGAGACGGAGCCGUUCGGCGAGCGGUCGGGCGCGUCCGACCCCUUGCGCCCGGGGUCGGGCAAGGCGGAACCCUUUGGCGAGGGGUCUGACGCGUCCGACCCCUUGCGCCCGGGGUCGGGCGAGGUGGAAUCCUUUGGCGAGGGGUCCGGCGCGUUCGACCCCUGGCGCUCGGGGGAUAUGGAGCGGCCCUCGGGCGGUCGGGCGCGUCCGACCCUAGGACCGUGGGUCGAUCGAGGCGAAGUGGAAUAUUCCCCGGUCGUGCCAGGUCGGUGGAGGUCAUUAUCGCUAGGGGUGGGCCCGGGCCCUUAUGAUCGUCGUUUAAGGAGUAUAAGGAAGUCGUUAAUAUUUCCCCCCAACAGUAGCCCCCGAGCCUUCGGUGGAGCAAAAAUGCUCCUCCAGAGGCUGUGUUCGUCGUUCAUCAAGGAUCUUUGUUUGUCCUGCAGCCUACAUUUGAUCAGGGAGAAAAAGCUUCGCUCGUUUGGCCUGGCCAGAGAGUUUUAGGUAGGCAGGGUGUUCCGAGGAUGGCUCGGCUCGGGAAGAUUCCCUAUCGUUCUGACGACCACUCCUGCUCCAAAACUCCAAAUUGUGACCACACGCGUGGUCGUUGAUUGCGAUGCCAGCCCCCGAGCCCCCGCGCGUUGCAGGAGACCGAUCGAGAGGUUGGAUCGACUUUUGAUCAUUACCCCUCAAGCGUCCAUUCGCUGGGACGGAGGGAGUGAGCCAUGCCACGUUAUCCUCGUUGGACGAACCGUGGUGCUCGUUGAGCUGCCAACGGGUCAGUUCGAGUGGAGUCCCGGUCCCCAUUUGGGGGUGUCCAGCUCGGGCCAAGCUAGUGGCGUACUCCAGAUUCCAGGUGGCCAAUUCAUAUAGUUCCCGGACCCGUUCGAUUGGAUCCGAGGGCUCGUUGCCUUUCUUCGGGGAAAAACCUUGAACUUAAACGUCAAUCCGGACUCGAACGUGAGGUCAGGAUGCCCUUGGCUUUCGCUCUCCUGGGUGGUGGCCGCUAGCGGACUCGUCCCUUCUCACCCCUUGCUCAGGAGUGUCCUGGGGCGACUGUCGAACCCUGCGGUGGGCCAGCCUUCAAACCCCUAGAUCGUAAUGGGCCGUAGGAGCGAUUUCAGCUUCGUAUCCCUUUUUUACUUGUUGGUGGGCCCCGGGCCGUACGUGGAGGAAGGCUGCGCGUGCAUCCUCAGGAAGGUGGAGAGAUGGAGAAUACUGGGCCCGCGAAAUGAGGAAGGGAGACGUUCCCUACAGCAGGAGGAGAUCGUGCGCACAGUUUCCGAAAAAGGUGGAGGUGACGGGUGUACCUAGCGUCGCAAUAACUGCGAUCGGGUUGCCCUUUUCGCUUCCCACGCGCUCCCCUAUAAGACAAGGUAGUCCGCCUCGCCGGUUUCGCCCCGCACUCAUCUCUAGCCUUUCUUACUUUCUUGUGCACUUUUCACCUCCCUUCGCUUCAGCGCAGCAGCCUUCUCCGCCCCCGCCGUUGAGCCUUCCCCUCCCUCAGUGAUGGAGUCCUAGAUGCGCUCGAACUUCAGCACCGCGCGCGCCUCCGGCCUCAUGAAGAAGGGCCUCCUUUGCGAGAGGUUCGCCAAGAACAAGUGGUGGUACCCCGGAAGGGAGGAUGCGCCGCAGCCGGAUGACGGAUACGUCGUCUCAUUCGCGCACUUCCAUGAGAGGGGGUUCGCAACUCCGCCGAGCCACUUCUUCCGCGGGCUGCUGCAUUACUACGGGCUCGAGCUGCAGCACCUCAACCCCAAUGGGAUCCAGCACAUCACGGCGUUCGUCGCGCUGUGCGAGGGGUACCUGGGGAUUGAGCCCAACUUCUCGCUCUGGAAAUACUUCUUCACGGUCAGCCUGCAUCACAAGAUCGAGAAGAGGGGGAUCUAGGUGCGGACGGUUCCGGUGCCGAUGGGGUGCACCGGCAUCCACCUCUGCCAGAACCGCGCCGGGGAGUAUAUGGCGAUGAAGACCGCGGUAUCCCACAAGGGGUGGCACCAGCAGUGGUCCCCCUUGCCGGAGUUCACCGGCCGUGUCAUCGCGGUAGCACCAGACAACUGGGCAUACGGUCCAGUUGAGAAGGAGAAGAGGAACAUCGCUGGUCUUCUACAGGCCAUCAAUCGCCUGGAGGCGGAGGUCCUAACCGGGGCCGGAGUUAUCGGGGCGUACCACGCUCGGAGGCUGGCGCCACUGAUGCUCCGAGCCCGCGCGCUCAGCGAUAUGGUUCCCGACACGGCGACUGAUGGCACCAUCCUUGCGAUGGGUGUGCUCACCAACGCCGAGAUCGAGCAGCGUGUCCGGGAGGCACUGGAUGACAGGGACGUUGUUUACCCGGUGCCGGAUCACCCUCCGAUGCGCCCGAACAAGGGCUUCGUCCUGCUGGUGAGAAUUUUGCACUCUCGCUCUUCUUUCGUGCAUUUCCUUGUUCUCCAUUCUGACGCAGAGUCUUUGAAUCUGCAAGGCGAGCUGAACUAGGUCGUAGCCCCGCGCCCACCGGUGCCAGAGGACACAGCGCGGCGGCAGUAGAACCGCCUCCUUACCGAAAAGCAGAAAAGGAGGAAGGACAAGGAGACGGCGAGGAAGAGGAAGAGGGGUGCGAAGGAGUUCUGAAUGCGGCGAAGGGGCGCGGUCGUGAGGGACGAUGAUGAAGAUGAGACCAAGGAGGAGGAGGAGGAAGAUUAUGUCUCGGUCCUCGCACCAGAUGUGCUCAUCAUCCGGGACCAGCCCCCUCAACUUGCCGAGGGGGACAGGUCGAGCGGACCGCCCGCCCAGGGCCCGACCCCGCGGGGCUCGGAGGCCGCGCCCCAGGGUCAGUGAGGGGCGCACCUCAGGAAUCGACGGGGCUGAGCCCUGCCCUCUGCCUGCAUCGCACGAGCAGAGGGGUAGCGGCAAGCAGCUGCUAUCGGACGUCCUGGGGUUAGCGUCGAGAUCGGGGGUGAAGCGCGCCUGCCACCCUCGUAUUGUGGCGAGGUAAGUGGAAAGUUCUCGCGUACCUUAUUCUUUUCUUGGCAUCGAGCUGUUUUUGAUGAAGUUGUUGUUGUCUCGCAGCGCUGCUCUGCAAGACUUUGUCCUACCGCUGGCGUCGAAGAAGGCGCUCUGGGCAUCGGCUGCUUCCGCGGGGCUAACCAUGACCCUACCAGGGUCGAGCGGUGGUGUUGUCGGUGGGGCCGCGGUGCCCCCUAUGGAGGUAGCCUCCGCGACGGCAAUUGAAGAAAUGGUGUUGCAGUCGGGAACGGAGUUUACCCUUGUCCCGCCUUCUGCCCCCGCAGCCGACCCACGGGGCCAGAUGCUGCCCCUGGGGUUCCUCCGACCAACGAGGUGAUAAACCUUGACGACGAGGCAGAGGAGGAGCCGGUGAGGGAGGCGCCAGUGUCUGAGGCGCCGGUCGCGGAGGCGGUGGUGGAGACGACGGAGACGGCGGCGGUGGCGGAGACGAUGGCGCUUGCCCCAGCGGCGAUGAUAAAGACGGCGGCGGUGGCCGAGAUGGUGGCAUCUGCUCCGGCGGUGUUGACGGAGACGGCAGCGGUGCCGGAGACGGUGGCACCUGCCCCGGCGACGACAAUGGAGACAGCAGCGUCGAGGCUGGUCGGAGAGUCCUCCCAUUCCCUCGUCCCACUUAGUCGUGACCCCAACGCGUGGGGAGGGCCGACUGUGCGCUGGAUGUCCCGUGAGGACCCGCAGAGGCCACACUUCGUGCUGGACGAUGUCAGGGAGCGGAAAAGAUGGUAGGAGGUGCAGGGCGGACUCGAAGAUGUCCGUGCCGCCCUGUCUUCCACGAUGGGGAAGUUGGAUGACGUUGUUGUUCCUGUCGGUCAGUAUGGUGUUCUCUUUGGUGGUUAUUUUUCUUUCAUUUCUCCGUUCCUUUUUUCUCCUGACGAUUCCUGAGCGUAAAUUGUUCUGCAGGCACUCCAGGAAUGCAGCCGGGGGAAGUCCGAGUUUCUCCGGUGCGAGCGGAGGGUCUGGGAGCGCUUCGCCAUGGAGAUGCGGUGGACCGGGGAGCUGACCGGGAAGCUCGCUGCCACCUAGUAGAAUGCUGCCGACCUGCGAGCGCGGGAGCAGGAGGCGCGGUAAGGCACGCUGAGGGCGGAGGACAAGCUCCGGGUCGCUACUGAGAAAGCCCAUCGUGAUGCCGAGGAGCUUUCACGAUUGAGGAAGGAGCAUGAGGCCCUUCAGAAAAUCGUCAAGCGCAUCCAGCAUGAGCGACACACAGCUCAGCAGGAGCGCGACCUUGAGGUGGGCCGGAAAGUUGAGGCCGAGAAGGUGGCGGCCGACCUUGGGGCGGAGGUCGGUCGGCUCCAGUCACAGGUGCAGGAGCUUCAGACCGCUGUGUCCCAAGGGCUCAACCGGGAACAUCUGCUGAGAGCCCGAUCUGAGGGUAAGGCUUUCGUUGUCCUCUUGCUUGUAGCGUUGCACUGGUUUCUGACUUGGCGGGUUUUUCUGGACAAGCCUUGAGGGCGACCUCGCCUGGCUGAGGGACACCGCCGAUGCGGAGCACGUCGAGGUCGCCAACCUGCGGGACGCCAUUCGCAUCAUCUGCGAGGACCUUAGUGUGGUCCAAGAGGAGGGGAUGAGCACACUGGUGGCUCGUGUCCACGGGACGUAUCGGCGGGCCCGUGAGAUCGCUCGGGAGGCGCUCCACGUUGGUGUGAGGCGAGCCUUCGGCGUCUUCGGCUCUCACUACUCCAACAUCAACUUCGACGCGAUGAGCGGGGGGUACGCCUCCGGCUACUCCGAGGCUGAGUUGGAUGAGAUCAAUGCGUCGAUGCUCAAUCCAGCGGAGGCCUUGGCGCGGCUCCUGGAGGAUGAGGCUAUCCUGCUGGAGGACCCGGGGAUGAGCUAGCUAUAUCAGGCCAAGUUGCCCAAAAAUAUGUAAAUAAGUUAAGUAAUUUCGAACUUGCUUUUGCGAUGGCCUCAGAGACAUUUUUCUGUUUAUGUAAUUUUUCGAAAAGGUUUUCGAUCCUCUUUUUGUUUUUUGGGUUUGGAAAGUUUAUAGUGCGGGUCGAACGCGUCGGGAAGCACCGGCGAGCGAAGGCACCGUAGCCACUGCGGCGUGGGUUUCUCAUAGUCCGAUUGGUCUUACCUGAGCGUCGUUCGCGCAGUCCUCUCUUUUUGCUCCCAAACGUUUAAGAAGAGGGUCAGUUUGGAAAAAAUGGUGUUUUGAGAGGACGCCGAGUGUCUUUGGCCGGAGCCCUUGACAGCCCCCGAGGGAUAUGCGACCCUGUGGCAAAGCCAGGGUCAGAUAUCCCUAAGCUUGGGACGAAACUUUAGCGAAGGCGACUCAAAACAGCCCCUCUUUCACAAACUAAAAGAUGACGGAAGUAUGUAUGUACAAACUUGGAAAUAAUAGCUAAGGGUAGAAAGGUCUUAGCUGUUCGAUGUUGCAAGCGUUGGUGAAGAUCUGCCCAUCGGGGGUCGCUAGCUUGUAUGUGCCCGGCCGCAGUAUUUGCGCAAUGAUGAAAGGACCUUCCCACGGAGGAGUCAGCUUGUGCCAACCCCUGUUGUCUUGGACGAGGCGAAGCACCAGGUCGCUGAUGUUGAAGGCCUGACUCUGUACCUGAAGGCUGUGAUACUAUUGGAAAGCUUGUUGGUACUUGGCUGAGUGCAGCAGGGCCACAUCUCGCGCUUUGUCGAGCUGAUCCUGCGCGUUCGCGAGGGAUGCUUGGUUCCCUUGUUCAUUGUAUGCCCUGGCCCUCAGCGACCUAUACUCCAGGUCAGUAGGGAGGAUUGCCUCGGACCCAUAGACCAUGAAGAAUGGGGUGAAGCCAGUUGCCCUGCUAGGGGUUGUCCUCAGGUUCCAUAGGACUGCGGGGAGCUCCGCAACCCAUCAGCCGCCAAACUUGUUGAGGCAGUCGAAGAUCCAUGACUUGAGACACUAGAGUAUCAUGCCGUUGGCCCGCUCAACCUGUCUGUUCGUGCGGGGAUGCGCUACGGCCGACCAGUCUACUCGGAUGUGGUGGUCAUCACAGAACUUGAGGAAUUUCUUCCCAGUGAACUGCGUGCCGUUGUCCAUGAUGAUGGAGUGGGGGAUUUCGAAGUGAUGGAUGAUGUUAGUGAAGAAUUGCACCGCCUGCUCGGACUUGAUCUACGUGAUCGGUCGAGCCUCGAUCCACUUCAAGAAUUUGUCGACGGCAACGAGCAGGUGGGUGAAGCCCCCGGGUGCCUUCUUGAAGGGCCCGACGAGGUCCAGACCCCAGACCUGCGAAGGGCCAUGUGAUGGGGAUGGUCUAGAGUGCCUGGGCGGGCAAGUGAGUUUGUCGUGUGAAGAAUUGGCACCCUUCGCAGGUGCGCACGACGCGGGUGGCGUCGGCGACUGCCGUCGGCCAAUAGAAGUCUUGUCGGAAGGCGUUCCCGACAAGGGUUCUUGGUGCGGCGUGGUGUCCGCAGGCUCCGUUGUGGAUGUUCUGGAGUAACGCCUUUUCUUGCUCGAUCAGGAUGCAUCAUUGCAGGAUGCUGGUAUAGCUCUGCUUGUAGAGCUCCUAAUCGAUGAUGACGAAGGAUUUGGCGUGGCGGGUGAUCCUUCGUGCCUCUGUCUUGUCCGUCGGGAGCAACUCGCGAAUGAGGUAAUCGAGGUACAGGGCUCUCUAGUUGGGCGGAGGGUCGGCCCCCUCUGCUGGAUCUGUGUCGAUCUCCAUAACCUUGGGGUCGGAAGGGUCAACUCUCAAGUUCGGGACAGGUGGCGCGUUGCCGACCUCUCCCGGGUCGGCUCCCGAGUCUGGGACAGGUGGCACGUUGCCGACCUCUCCUGGCUCCUUAUAGCGGAUCUAGGGCUUAUACUGGUCACUAAUAAAGACACCGUCGAGGACUGGCUUCCGGCUGGACGCUGCCUUUGCUAGCUCGUCAUCUGCCUUGUUAAAGCGUCUCACAACGUGGUUGAGCUCCAGACCGUCGAACUUGUCCUCAAGCCGGUGGACUUCGUUGCAAUACGCUGCCAUCUUGGGAUCGUGGCAGCUCCACUCCUUCAUGACUUGCUCGACGACUAGCUGAGAGUUGCCUCGGAUGUCCAGCCGUCGGAUGCCCAGCUCGAUGGUGAUGCGAAGCCCAUUGAGGAGAGCCUCGUACUUGGCGACGUUGUUAGAUGCGGGAAAAUUGAGACAUAUCAUGUACCUCAUGUGUACGCCGAGAGAGGAGACGAAAACCAGGCCUGCUCCAGCGCGAGCUUUCAUCAGCGACCCGUCGAAGUACAUCGUCUAGUACUCCUGCUUCUCUGGAGCUGACGGUAUCUAGAUCCCUAUCCAUUGCGCGACAAAGUCAACGAGUACUUGGGACUUGAUGGCUAUCCGGGGGACAUAGGUGAUGCCCUGGUCCAUAAGCUCGAGCGCCCACUUUGUGAUCCGCCCUGUGGCGUCCUGAUUCCGGAUCAAUUCGUCGAGGGGGAUUGAUGACACGACCGUCACCGGGUGGGAGGUGAAGUAGUGGCGCAGCUUUCUCUUCAUGAUGAGGACUGCAUAUAUGAGCUUUUGGAUUUGGGGGUAGCGGGCCUUGGAGUUGGACAAGACCUCGCUGAUGAAGUACACCGGGUGCUGCACCUUGAGGGCAUGUCCCUCCUCCUCUCGCUCCACCACUAGAGCAGCGCUUACCACCUGGGUGGUUGCCGCAAUGUAGAGCAGGAGUGGCUCCCCGUCGGUCGGUGGGAUUAGGAUUGGGGCCUUCGUAGGACUUGUUUGAGCCGGUCAAGUGCCUCUUGGGCCUCGGCGGUCCACAUGAAGCGGUCGGUCUUCUUCAGGAGUCGAUAGAGAGGGAGUCCUCGUUCGUUGAGGCGUGAGAUGAAGCGGCUCAGGCCCGCAAGGCAUCCUGUGACGCACUGCACUCCCUUCAGGUUUUGGAUCGACCCCGAAUCAGCGAUGGCCGAUAUCUUCUCCGGGUUGGCUUCGAUGCCGCGCAUGGAGAUGAUGAAGCCGAGCAGCAUGCCCCUCGGGACCCCGAAAACACAUUUUUCGGGGUUGAGUUCGAUGCGCUUGUCUCUCAGCCUUUCGAAGGCCAGCUUGAGGUCGGGGAUGAGCUGGUCGCCUUUCUUGGACUUGACCAUGAUGUCGUCCACGUAGGCCUCAAAGGUUCGCCUGAUGAGGUCCCUAAAACACUUGAGCAUACAUCGCUGGAAUGUAGCCCCCGCGUUUUUGAGGCCGAACAGCAUCGUGACGUAGCAGUAGGGCCCGAAAGGGGGUGAUGAAAGAGGUCGCAAGCUGGUCGGACUCUUUCAUCGCGAUUUGGUGGUAACCGGAAUACGCGUCGAGGAAGCUAAGGGUUUCGCACCCUGCAGUUGAGUCGACUAUCUGAUCUAUGCGUGGCAAAGGAAACAGAUCCUUUGGGCACACUUUGUUGAGACGCAUAUAGUCAACACACAUUCUCCAUUUCCCAUUCUUCUUUCGUACAAGAAUAGGAUUGGCUAACCACUCGGGGUGGUGCACUUCCUUGAUGAACCCGGCCACCAAAAGCUUCUGGAGCUCCUCACCAAUGGCCUUGUGUCGUUGUCAGGAUUAGCGGAUCAAGACUUGGACUAGUAAAUUUCUUUUAUGCGCGUAAAGCUUUGGAUGGUGGCGUGGGAGACACGGGGUUUAGACUGGUUUGGGCAAGGAAGAGCCCUACGUCCAGUAUCGGGUGGUGCUCGUGUUGCCCACGCGGGGUCUGUAGUAGGGGUUAUAGGAGGGCGAGAGAGGGAGCUGAUCCCAGGUCUCUUGGGUGUGCACUGAUGCUCUAAGGAGAGUACGAGUGUGUUCUUUUCGCUUCCGAGAGUCCCCUGUCUCAGGGCCCCCGGUUCUCCUUUUAUAGCGCAAGGAGGCCACCGGGGUUACAGGUGAGACCGGGUGUGAGGAGAAGUAAAAGAGAUAAACUUACCUAAGUAAAAUCCAACAUAAGGAGAGGGACCAAGUUCCAAGGUCGCCGCCCCUCGCUCUGGCCUCCGGCUCCUGUCAGCGCUUCCGCCGGAAGAGGGCGGCCACCUUCGGAUCCUGUCGACGGUCUCCCUGGUGGCCGUUGCCACGAGGCAUGAUGAUGAUGUUUGGUCGUGGCGUGUGUGCCCGUCGGGGAGGACGGCUGGUCCUGUUAUCUUGCUGAUGGCCCAUGGGACACGGACGUCGCAUCCCUAUCGCUAGAUGCGCGGGACGCGAGAACGGGCGGGACUUCCUCCUUUGCCGGGCGGCGCAGGCCAUGAGUGCCCUGUAGUGAAUCGGAGGGAGCCGCGGCCACUGUAGCCUGCACCGCACGGUCACACAUGGGUACUUGUGGCAGGUCACGUCGGGGGUGCGAGCGCCUUUCUGCGUGCCAGAGCCACAGCGCAUUUAUGGCGAGGUUGACAGGGGACCCACGAGAUCCGCAUCCUGAUCUUCCAUUCUGCGCCCGAGGCAGAUAUUUGUCUUGUGGGCUCGGAUGAGUUCGACCCCCUGCGCCCUGGGUCGGGCGAGACGGAGUCUUGCGGCGGGGGGUCAUGAGCUCCCGACCCCAGGCUCGUGGGUCGGGCGAGGCGGAGUUUGGUCUUCAAGGGGUCGGGAACCUCCGAACCCGGGACACUGGGUCGGGCGAGGCGGAGCGUGGCUCCCCCCUCCCAUGUUGGGCCGGCGGCAGUCUUUAUUUCCUUAGGUAGGCUCGGGCCUUUAUGAUUGUUGUUUUCAUGGGCUUUAGGAGGUCGUUAAUAUUCCCCCCCAGUAGUAGCCCCCAAGCCUGUGGGGGAGCGGUGACUCUCUUCCAAAGGCUGUUAUUGCCGUUCGUAGGGGAUCCCCGUUCAUCGUGCAAGCCGCAGUUAAUCAGGGAUGAGAGGCAUUGUUUGUGCGCUUGGCCGAGGAGGUUGAUCAGGUGAAGCGUCCUAUGGGCGACUCGGCGCGGGAGGGUUUCUUGUUGUUUCCUUCUAUUCUAAUGGCCUCAAGUCAUGACCACCCGCGUGGUCAUUGGUUGCGAGGCUAGCCCCCGAGCCCCCGCGUGUUGCAGGGGACCGGUCGGGAGGCUAGGUCGACUUUUGUACGUUACCCCUCAAGCACCCAUUCACUGGGACGGAGGGGGUGAGCCGUGCCACGUUAUUCUCGCUGGACGAACCGUGGUGCUCAUUGAGCUACUAGCGGGUCGAUUCGAGUGGGGUCCCAGUCCCUGUUCGGGGGGGUCCGGCUCGGGCCAAGCUGGUGGCAUACCCCAGGUUCUGGCCAGCCAGUUCAAUAGUUCCCGGAUCCAUUCGGUCGGAUCCGGGGGCUCGUUGCCUUUCUUCAGGGAAAAACCAUGAACUCUGAUGCCGGACCGAACUGGAGUGUGAGAUUGGAACGCCCUAGGCUGUCGCGCGCCCGAGUGAUGGUCGCUAGUGGACCCAUCUCCUCUCACCCCUCACUCGGGGAUGUCUUGGGGCAGCUAUCGAACCCGUGGUGGGCAAGCCAUCGAACCCCUGGACUGUAAUGGGCCGUAGGGGUGUUUUCAGCCCCGUAUCCCUUUGUUACCUUUCGAUGGGCCUCGGGCCGGAUGUGGAGGAGGUUAUGCCGUGGGCCGGACGUGGAGGAGCUUGUGCCUUAGGCCUGACGUGGAGGAUGUUAUGUGCGCACUCUGACGUGGAGGAUGUUAUGUGCGCACUCUCCGAGAGACGAAGUGGUGGAAGACACCGACCCGCGAAUCGAGGGAGGAGGGGAUGUUUCCUGCAGCAGGUCGUGCCACGGUUUUCGAAAAAGGGGCGGGCGUGACGGGGUGUACCUUGCGCCACAUUUAUUUUGACGGGGGCGCCUGUUCUGCUUCCCACGCGCCUUCCUAUAAGAUGGGGUGUCCGCCUCGCCGGUUCCACCCGCAGUCUGCCCCCAAGUCUUUUCGCCUCUCCACACAUCCUUAGCUUUCUUGCUCGCCGUUCAUCUUCCUCGGCCCAGCGCCGCAACCUUUCUCCCCGUCCGCCGUCAAGCUCUUCUCCCCUCGAUGAUGGGAUCCUAGGCGCGCACAAGCUUCGUCACCUCGUGCGCCGACGGCCUCACGAGGAAGGGCCUCCUUUGUGAGAGGACCGAGAGGGAUGAAUGGCGGUUCCCCGAGAUGGAGGAGGUGCCGAAUCUGCCGGCCGGCUACGUCGUGUCGUUCACCUACUUCCACGAGAGGGGGUUCGCGACUCGGCCAAGUCUUUUCUUCCGCGGGCUCCUUCACUACUACGGGCUUGAGCUGCAGCAUCUCAAUCCCAAUGGGAUCCAGCACAUCGCGGCGUUCGUCGCACUGUGCGAGGGGUUCCUAGGCAUUGAGCCCAACUUCUCGCUGUGGAAGUACUUCUUCGCGGUCAGCCUAUACCAGAAGGCCGAGAAGAGAGGAAACCAGCAACGGGCGACCCCGGUGCCGAUAGGGUGCGAUGGAAUCCACCUUCGCCACACUCGCUCUAGGGAGUACAUGGCGAUGAAGACCGCGGUGUCCCACAAAGGGUGGCACCAGCAGUGGUUCUACGUGAAGAACUACUCCAAAUCCUCCUUGCCGGAGUUCACCGGCCGCAUCAUUGAAGUGGUGCCGGAGGUGUGGUUGUACGGCCUUGUGGAGAAGGAGAAGAAGCGGAUCACCGGCUUGCUUCAGGCCAUCGAGUACCUGAAGGGAAAGGGGCUGACCGGAGCUGGAGUCAUCAGGGCGUACCACGCUCGGAGGGUGGCGCCGCUGAUGCUCCGGGUCCGCUCGCUCGCUGAGAUGACCCCCAGCACGUCGGCCGAGGGAACCGUCCUUGCGACGGGUGCGCUCGCCGCCUCCGUGAUCCGACAGCGGAUCCGGGAGGCGCUGGAUGACAAGGACGCCGAUUACCUGGUGCCCGACCACCCUCCGAUGCGCCCGGACGAGAACUUCGCCGCCCUAGUGAGGACUGUGCAUGCCUGUUUCUUUUUCCUGCGCCUCUUGGUUUGUUGUUCUGACGCGGAGCGCUUGUGUCCGUAGGGCAACAUGGCCCACGUCGCGACUCGCGUCCGCUGGUGCCAGAGGACGCCGAGCGGCGGUAGCAGAACCGUCUCCUUGCUGAGAAGCAAAAGCAACGCAAGGACAAGGAGACGGCGAGGAAGAGAAAGAAGGCCGCCAGGGAGUUCCAACGGCGGUGGCGAGGCCAGGUCGUGUCGGACGAUGACGAUGAUGAUGAGGAGGAGGAAGAGGAGGAGGACGACGACGAGGACGAGGAAGAGGAGGAGGAGUUCAUUCUGACCCCUCGAUCGGGCGUGCUCGUUAUCCGGGAGGUGCGCUCCCAAAUGACCGCAGGGGACAAAACGAGCGGGCUGCUCGCCAUGGACCCAACCCCGCAAAGCUCUGGGGCCGCGCCCCAGGGGUCGGCGUGGAGCGUGCCUCGGGAGUCGAUGGAGCUGACCCCCAUCACUCUGCCUGCAGCCCUGGAGCAGUGGAGCAGCGGCAAGCGGCCGUUGCCUGAUGCCCUAGGGUCGGCAUCAGGCUCAGAGGCGAUACGCGCGCGCCGUCCUUGCGCUGGGGGAGUGUGAGUGGAAUUUCCUCGCAAGUCUCAUUCCUUUCCAGGCAUUGAGUUGUUUUUGCUAUAGUUGUUUGUUUUUUUGGCAGCGCAGCCCCUCGAGGCCUUGUUCCGCCGCUGGCGCCGAAGAAGGCACUACGGGUGUCGUCCACCUCUGCGGGGCGGACCGCGAUCCCGCCGGCGGCGAGCGGCGGUGUCGCCAGGGAGACUGCGGGUCCUACCACGAAGGUGGCUCCUGCGGCGGCAACUGGUGGAGUGGCGCCGUUGCCGGGCAUGGGAUAGGGUCUUACCCCUGCUCUACCCUCUGCUUCCUCGGCCAAUCCCACGGGACAGGGUAUUGCCCUUGGGGGCCCUCCGACCGGGGUGGUGAUAGACCUCGACGACGAGGCGGAGGAGGAGCGUGCGGCUCCAACGGCGGUGGUGGAGACGGGGGCGGCUGCCCCAGUGAUGGGGACAGCGACAGCAAGGGAGGCGAGGACAUCCGCCCCGGCGGUUGCGAUGAAGGCAGCGGCGGCGGCGGAUGCGGGGACAUCCGCCCGUGGAGCCGCGGCAAAGGUAGCGGCGGAGGUGCCUGCUCCGGAAGCCACGAUGGGGGUGGGGACGCUUGCCUUGGUGGCCGCGAUGAGGGACGCGGCGGCGACGGGCACGCCCGCUCCAGUAGCCGUGACGGAAACAGUGGCGGCGGCGGACGGAUCGGGACGCGUGUUGGCGUCGACGACGUCCGCGGCGACCUCAACAAGGACGACGGCGCGCGUGCUGGGACCGUCGGCGAGGCCGGCGGCAUCCGGGGCGGCGGCGCCUGUCCCGGUGGUGGCGUUGGGGACGGCGGCGCUGGGGGCAGCUGAGGCGGUCUCUACCCCUACCUCGAUCAGUCCUAUUCCCAAGGCGUGGCGUGGGACUACCUUGAACUGGAUGUCCCGCGACGACCCGCAUAGGCCCCUCUUCACACUGGAUGACGCCAAGGAGUGGGGCAAGUGGCAGGCGGUGUAGGGCGGACUUGCGAACGUCCGCGCUGCCCUAUCCUCAGCGAUAGGGGUGCUGGACAGCGUUGUCGUUCCUGGUAGCCAGGUAUGGUGUUCUCCCUAGCGGUUAUUUUUCUCCCAUCGCUUCGUUGCUGAGUAUGUAUCAUCCUGCAGGCCCUCCAGGAGUGUAGCCGGGGAAGUCCGACUUCCUCCGAACUGAGUGGGAGCUUUGGGACCGCUUCUCUAUGGAGAAGCAGUGGACCGGGAAGCUGACCGUGCAGGUUGCCGCCGCCCAGCAAGUUAUCAACAACCUGUGAGGACGCGAGCAGGCGGCGCGGGAGGACGCGCGGCUGGCGGAGGCCAAGUUCCAGGCCGUCAUCGAGAAGGCCCGCCAUGACGCUGAGGAGCUCGCACGGCUGAAGGGAGAGCAUGAAGCCCUUCAGAAGACCGUCAAGCGCAUCCAGCGCGAGCGGCAGAAGGCCUGGUAGGAACGGGACUCCGAGGCAGCCCAGAAGGAAGAGGCCGAGAAGGUGACGGCUGACCUCGGGGCGGAGGUCAGUCAGCUCCAGGUGCAAGUGUAGGAGCUUCAGGCCUCCGUGGACCAGGGGCUUGACCGGGAGCGCCAGCUGAAGGCCAAAUCCGAGGGUAAGGCUUUUUCCGCUCCUUUGUUUUCUUAUUGCUUUGUGGUGGUUUCUGACUUGGAUUUCUACAGACGGUCCUUAUAGAUGAAAUCGCCUGGCUCGAGGAGGUCCUCGACACUGAGCACGCCAAGCACGGCAGCCUGCGGGACGCGGUCCGCGUUGUCUGUGAUGGCCUUGGCGUGAUCCAGGGGGAGGGGACAAGCUCGCUAGCGACUCGUGUCCUCAGGACAUACCGAUGGACCCGCGACAUCACCCUGGAGGUGCUCCGCAUUGGCGUGAGGCGGGCCUUCGAUGUCUUCGGUUCCCACUAUUCCGGCAUCAACUUUGCCAGGAUGAGCGGGGGUAUGCCGCCAGCUACUCCAAGGCCGAGCUGGAUGAGAUCGACGCGUCGGUGCUCAACCCAGUGGACGCCUUGGCGAAGCUUUAGGAGGAUGAGGCCGUCCCGCCCGAAGACCCCAAGAGGAGUUAGCUGUACCAGGCUGGCGCCCCCGGAUGUAAAUACAUUAGUUUUGAUUUUGAACUUGUUCUUGUAAUGGCCACAGGGGCCUUUUUAUGAAUUGCCGAAAAAAAUUUCGAUCCUCUUCCUUGUUUUUUGGUUUAGGAAAGUUUGGAGCGAGGUCGGGUGUGUCAUUAAGCAUUGAUGGGCGAAGGCACCGUAGCCGCUGGGGUGUGGGUUUUUUCGUAGUCCGAUCAAUCUUGCCUGAACAACGUUCGCGCACUCCCUCCUUUUCACGCCCAAAAGUUUAGGAAGAGGGUCGGCUUGGAAAGAAAUGGGGUUUUGAGAAGAUGUCAAGUGACUUGGGCCGGAGCCCCUGAUAGUCCCCGAGGGAUAUGCGGCACUAAGGCAGAGCCAGGGUUGGAUAUCCCUGAGUUCGACACGAAACUUGAACAGAAUCGACUCAAAAUUACUUUUCUAUUAAAUUGACAAUUUACAGAAGUGUUUAUGUACAGAAUUUGGAAACAAGAAACUAAGGGUAGAAGCAUCUUAGCUAUUCUAUGUUCCAGGCGUUGCUGAAGAUCUGUCCGUCAGGGGUCGCCAGCUUGUAUGUGCCUGGCCGCAGUACUUCUGCGAUGAUGAAGGGACAUUCCCACGUAGGGGUCAGCUUGUGCCGACCCCUGUUGUCCUGGAUGAGGCGGAGCACCAGGUCGCCGACGUUGAAGGCUCGGCCUUGCACCUUGCGGCUGUGGUAGCGUCGUACGGCCUGCUGGUACUUGGCCGAGUGCAGUAGGGCCACAUCGCGUGCUUCAUCGAGCUGAUCUUGUGCGUCUUCGAGCGAUGCCUGGUUCCCUUGGUCGUCAUACGCCUUGACCCUCGGUGAUACAUACUCCAGGUCAGUGGGCAGGAUUGCCUCGGACCCAUAGACCAUGAAGAACGGGGUGAAGCCAGUCGCCCGACUGGGGGUCGUCCUCAAGCUCCACACGAAUGCGGGGAGCUCUGUGACUCAUCGGCCGCCGAACUUUUUGAGGCGGUUGAAGAUCCAUGGCUUGAGACCGUAGGACAGGUGGUGCGUUGCCAACCUCUCUCGGGUCGGUUCCCAAGUCCGGGGUAGGUGGCGCGUAACCGACCCUCCUCGGCUCCUGGCAACAGAUUGAGGGCUUAAACUGGUCGCUGACGAAGACACCGUCGGGUACAAGCUUUCGGCCGGACGCUGCCUUUGCCAGCUCGUCGGCUACCUCGUUGAAAUGCCUUGCGACAUGGUUGAGCUCUAGUCCAUCGAACUUGUCUUCGAGUUUGCGAACUUCAUUGUAGUAGGCUGCCAUCUUGGGGUCGUGGCAGCUCCACUCCUUCAUGACUUGUUUGACGACUAGCUGAGAGUCACCUCGAAUGUCCAGCCGCCGGAUGCCUAGCUCGAUGGUGAUGCAAAGCCCAUUGAGGAGGGUCUCGUAUUUGGCAACAUUAUUAGACGCAGGAAAGUGGAGGCGGAUCAUGUACCUCAUGCGCACGCCGAGAGGAGAGAUGAAGACGAGACCCGCUCCAGCGUGGGCCCUCAUCAGCGAUCCAUCGAAGUACAUCGUCCUCCUACUUCUCCAGCGUCGAUGGUGUCUGGAUCUCCAUCCAUUCUGCUACAAAAUCAGCGAGUACCUGGGACUUGAUGGCGGUGCGGGGGGCAUAGGUGAUGCCCUGGUCCAUGAGCUCGAGCGCCCACUUCGCGAUCCUUCCCGUGGCGUCCUGGUUUCGGAUCACUUCGCCGAGAGGGAACGACGAAACGACCGUCACUGGGUGGGAGGUGAAGUAGUGGCGCAACUUCCUCUUUGUGAUGAGGAUGGCAUAGAUGAGCUUCUGGAUCUGCGGGUAGCGUGCCUUGGAUUCGGACAAGACUUCGCUGAUGAAGUACACCGGGCACUGCACCUUGAGGGCGUGUCCCUCCUUCUCUCGCUCCACCACCAGAGCCGCGCUAACCACCUGGGUGGUCGCCGCGAUGUAGAGCAGGAGGGGCUCCCUGUCGGUUGGCGGGACAAAGAUCAGGGCCUUUGUCAGGAGGUCCUUGAGCCGGUCAAGUGCCUCCUGGGCCUCGGUGGUCCACUCGAAGCGGUCGGUCUUCUUCAGGAGUCGGUAGAGAGGGAGCCCCCGUUCGCCGAGGCGCGAGAUGAAGCGAAUCAAGGCUGCCAAGCAUCCCGUGAUGCGCUAGACUCCUUUUAUAUUUUGGAUCGGCCCCAUGUCGCUGAUGGCCACUAUCUUCUCCGGAUUGGCUUCAAUGCCACGUAUGGAGAUGAUGAAACCCAACAGUAUGCCCCUCAGAACCCCGAAAACACAUUUUUUUGGGAUUGAGCUUGAUGCGCUUGUCUCUCAGCCUUUCGAAGGCUAGUUCGAGGUCGGGGAUGAGCUAGUCGCCUUUCUUGGACUUGACUACGAUGUCAUCGAUGUAAGCCUCAACGGUUCGCCCGAUGAGGUCCCUAAAACACUUGAGCAUGCAUCGCUGGAACGUACCCCCACGUUUUUGAGGCCAAACAGCAUCUUAACGUAGCAAUAGGGGCCGAAGGGGGUGAUGAAAGAGGUAGCGAGCUGGUCAGACUCUUUCAUCGUGAUUUGAUGGCAGCUGGAAUAUGCAUCAAGGAAGCUAAGGGUUUCGCACCCGCUGGUUGAGUCGUCUAUCUAAUCUAUGCGCGGGAAAGGAAACGGAUCCUUUGGGCACGCCUUGUUGAGACCGGUAUAAUCAAGACACAUCCUCCAUUUCCCAUUCUUUUUUCGUACAAGAACAGGAUUAGCUAGCCACUCAGGGUGGUACACUUCCUUGAUGAAUCCGGCUGCCAAAAGCUUCUGGAGCUCCUCGCCGAUGGCCUUGCACCUCUCCUCGUCGAAGUGGCGCAGACCUUGCUUCACUGGCUUGGAGCCGGCCUUGAUGUUCAAGGAGUGCUCGGCGACUUCCCUCGGAAUGCCGGGCAUGACCGAGGGUUUCCACGCGAAAACGUCGCUGUUCCCGCGGAGGAAGUCGACGAGCACGCUUUCCUAUUUGGGAGAUAGGGUAGUGCCGAUCCGCACGGUCCGGCCGUCGGAGUUGCUGGGGUCGAGGGGGACCUCCUUGACACCUUCGGUGGCCUCGAAGGAGGUGGCCAACUGCUUGGAGUCAGGUUGGUCCUCGGCGCCCUCCGCAAGCUAGACCGCCAAAUCUUCCGUGAAGGUGAUGACCAUGGCGUACUCGCAGCACUCUACGUUGCACUCAUACGCUUUCUGGAAAGACGUGCCGACGGUGAUGACCCCGUUGGGCCAAGACAGCUUGAGCUUGAGGUAGGUGUAGUUAGGUCUGGCCAUGAACUUGGCGUAGCACAGCCACCCCAAGAUGGCGUGGUAGGUUCCACAGAAACCUACCACCUCGAAGGUAAGGACCUCCUUCCUGUAGUUGGAAGGAGUCCUGAAAGUGACGGGCAGGUUGAUCUACCCGAGAGGCAUUGCCUGUUUCCCCAACACGACAUCGUGGAACGGCGCCUUGCUGGGGUGGAGGUGGGAGCGGUCGAUCCCCAUGGCGUCGAGAGUCUCGGCGUAGAGGAUGUUGAGGCCGCUGCCUCCGUCCAUGAGCACCUUGGUGAGGCGUGUUGUGCCGAUGACGGGGUCAACGACGAGCGGGUAGCGUCCUGGCUGCAGGAUGCGCCCCAGGUGGUCGGACUAGUCGAAGGUGAUGGCGGAUCCCGACCAGUCGAGGAAGGCCGGUGUAGCAGGCUCGGCCGCGUAGACCUCACGGCGCUCCAGCUUCUAGUGGUGCUUAGAGUCGUAAGCCGUCGGGCCAUCAAAAAUCAUGAAGCAGCUGUCCACCUUGGGGAAGCCGUCUUCCUUCUCCUUGUUGGAGGUAUGCCCUAGAGGCAAUCAUAGAGAUGAUGAUAUUCCAUUUGUAUCCAUGAUUUGUAUGUUGUGUUCAUUGAAUAUCCAUUGAAGGCUACUUGACUUGAUUUGCAAUUAUGUGAAUUGUAUGUGAAACUCUUUACUUGUAUGGUUAUUCUAAAGUUGUCCCUAGUCGGAGUUCAUGUGAGGGCACACAUGAAUAUUAGACUAGCACAUGUAUUAGUUGAUGACUAUGUUUCACAAGUCAUGGACAUGGAGAUGUUGAACUAAUAAUGUGGACACAUGUGGAGACAUGUGCUAGGACUGACCCAACAUGAGAAGUAGUUCUCUUUUUAAACAACAUAUACGCUUUGUCCUUAGACCUGAGAUUGUCGCAUGUAUUCUAGAUGUGGAUCGACCUACUUAGGGGCUAUCAAACGCUACGCCGUAACACGGUAGUUAUAAAGGUAGCUUUCGGGUUUGUCGAGAAGCAUGCUAUGAGACAUGGUCAAUCAAGAUGGGAUUUGCCCCUCUCUGAUUGAGAGUGAUAUCUCUGGGCCCCUCGAGUGAUCGGAUCCAAAAAUGCAUGGCCAUGCUACGUACGGUUAAGAGUUAACCUACAAAGGGAUUCCGAAUCACAGGAUCGAGAAAGAGCGGUCGGCUUGAAGCUAGACCAAAUAUCGUGAGGCAAAGGGAAUAGCAUGUAUAUUAUGUUGUGAUGGUUCGUCUGAUAUGAUCUUCGUGUGCGUAUAGGAGUUGGCACGUCUUGCUAGAGGCCGCUACCGACUAUUGGGCCGAGUAGGAGUACUCGGGCCAUGUCUAUACGUAUCCGAACCCAUAGGGUCACACACUUAAGGGGCUGGAAGCCCAAUUCGGAUCAAAUCCGAGUUGAAUUAGGUUUAGAAGUAAUAAUGGGCCUCGGAUCCAGAGGCCCGUCAGGAACCUCUAUAAAUAGAGGGGUGGGGGCGCCCUAGGGUUUACACCUUUUUGGCGAAACACACUUGCCGUGCCUCCCACGCCCUCGCCUGUUGCAACUCGCGGUUCUAGCAGUCCGGCUUGCGACGCUUCCUCCCUGCACGUGUGGAUACCUUGGAGGUGUUGCGCCUGCAGCACUUGGACGAGCCGCCGCCGAGCCACCGACGAGCCACGACGAGCCGACGACGAGCCGCGGCAUCGGAGGCGAUCUUGCUGCUGCACGUGGACGAGCUGCUGAGGAGCUGCUGGACGUGAUCGACUACGUACGACUACGUGAUCGUCUUCACUGCAUCGACGCAUAUCUACAUCUUCCGCACCAGUAGUGCGUCGAGUGGUAAUCCCGUGAUCCUUAUACGGCAGUUCUUCCUGGUUAUACGCGGUAGAAUUUUGAAUUGCGCUAGUGUAGCCUACCUCGUAUCCCAACAGUGGUAUCAGAGCCGUAGCUGCUUAGUUUUGGAUUCGGGAUGUGUGCAUAUGGAGAUAUGCGAGUUUUCCGUUUGAUCUAUGUCCUGGUUUCGUGCCCUUGCUGCAAUGGUAGUGUAACGACAUACUCCUACCGGUCGGUUUCCGCCAUCGGAGUUAAGUGAUACACGUAAAUCCAGUUGCAGUGAGUGAAGAUCAAUAUGAUUGGUUGAUUCGAAAUCUAGGGUCAUACGCCAGGCGCAUUAGAUGUGCAAUAGUAGAUGAGAUCUACUGCCGGGGUCGGGAUUUUUGCCGUAUGCAUAUGCUUCGGUAAAUCAGCCGUAACUUUUCGGUACGAUCUCGGAUCAGGGCGAAUUAUAUAUGAAAAUUAAUCUACAGAAAAAGUUACACAUGAAAUUCAACGGCUUUGCCAUUUUCGGCGAAAUUAGAUUUCCCAAAUUCGGCUUGGAAGAUGGAGUUUCGGGCAUCCGAAGUUUGGAACGUUAGGACGCCUAACUCUGUUUUGCAGGAUGUAUGUAUGUAUCUUGUGAUCAGUAUGGCCCCCUUGUGUAUGUGAUGCAUGUGUGUAACUCAUUCGUGACCUGCGUGUCGCGCGUACGGUAACACGGCAGGAGCCAUAUGUGUUGUCACUUUAUUGUAUUUAAUGGUCUGCGUACCAAUCUGUGAUGAUCCAAGCAACUAUGUAAUCUUCAUUACUAGAUUCUUUACUAGCUAUUAGGCGUAAUAGGAUGUUCUAGUUCUUGGAGGACUCAUCACCAGGAGGAUGGCGCACAUGGAACAUGGAGAUGGAGAUCACCAUGGUGAACAGGUUCUAUGGAGAUGGAGAUCACCAUAUAAAAACGGGCCAUACUGUGUCACAACUGUGUGAAUGCUAUUCUGUUUAUGUUUUACUUUCUGCAUGCUGUGAUGUUAGAAGUAGAACGAUCCCUCACAAAAUUUAAGUUAGUAUGCCCUCCCAACUAAAACUUGCACCGUCCCAUGUCUUGUACAGUUAGUGGUGGGUCUAUGAAAUUAGGGUACCACUAGUUUUCCUUGACUAGACGGGUUUGUGUCGGACACUUACACGCAUAAGGGUUGGUUUGCUUAACAAGGUCAUCUUAACGGUUAAGGACUUUGGGGCAUAAAGGUUGGGCGCCGAGACAUAGAGAUGUCACCCACCAACAGGAGUCAUAUGUGAUAUGAUUAGCAAAAGUUGCUUACCGAUCUACCUUGUUUGCUAGCGGUGAUGCUAAAGCUCACUAGUGGACUUGUUAGUUUUGGAUCCUGAAUCACUAAGUUUCAAUAGAGGGAUAUUGAUUAGUGGGAGUAGAUUCUGUUAAAAUAGUUUAAUGUGAUUUGCUCUAUCAUGGAUACGUUUGUCUUAGUGUAUUUUGCAUUAGUUUGUUGUAGAUUAAUGGCACCUAGCAGCACUACACCGUUUGCUUUGCGUUCGAUCCUUGAGAAGGACAAGUUGAAUGGAACAAAUUACUCGGAUUGGAUCCGUAACCUGAGAAUUGUUCUCAGGGCUGAGAAAAAGGAAGAUGUUCUAGACAACCCACUACCAGAAGAACCUGCUGAUGAUGCACCCGCUGCUGCUAAGAAUGCUUACAAGAAAGCAUGUGAUGCUAACCUCGAAGUAAGCUGCCUUAUGCUUGCUUGCAUGGAACCCGAGCUGCAGAUGCAGUUCGAAACAAACCAUGAGGUGCACGAUAUGAUCGUGGCGCUUAGAGACAUGUUCCAAACACAGGACAGGACUGAAAGGUUCAAUGUGUCUAAGGCCUUUGUUGAGAGCAAGCUAGCAGAAGGCGUAGCAGUAGGACCACACGUAAUCAAAAUGGUUGGUUACACUCAACGGUUGGAGAAGCUGGGCUUCCCACUGGGCCAAGAGUUGGCCACUGAUUUCAUUCUUUCAUCUCUUCCGCCUAGCUAUGGGAACUUCAUCUCGAACUACCAUAUGCAUGGGACGGAGAAGGGUCUGAAUGAGCUGUGUGGCAUGCUUAAAACAGCAGAGGCUGACAUCAAGAAAAGCGCUAGUACCAGCCAUGUGAUGGCUAUACAGAACAAGCCUAGCUUUAAGAAGAAGGGCAAUUCUUGGAAGAAGAAGGGCAAGGCUGGAACGUCCAAGCCAAACCCACCGCCCAAGGUUAAAGCUGGACCUGGACCUGCUCCAGAUAAAGAGUGCUUUUACUGUCAUGAACUUGGUCACUGGAAGAGAAACUGCAAGCAGUACCUAGCUUCCUUGAAGAAUGGCGGAAGUAAGAGUACUUCUACCUCAGGUACGCUUGUUGUUAAUGUUAUAGACAACAUAUUUCUCGCUGAUACAAUUAUUAAUUCUUGGGUAUUUGAUACCAGAUCGGUUGCUCAUAUUUGCAAUUCGAUGCAGGGAAUGAUAAGAAGUAGAAGUGUGGAAAGAGGAGAAGUUGAUUUCCGCGUGGGCAAUAAUGCAAGAGUUGCUGCGUUGACCGUCGGGACGAUGCAACUCCACCUCCCGUCAGGAUUUAUUAUGGAGUUGAAUAAUUGUUAUUUUGUUCCUAGUUUAAGUCGAAACAUUUUGUCUCCUUCAUGCUUGAUGAAGGAUGGUUAUUCAUUUGCGAGUGAAAACAAUGGUUGUGUGAUCUCUAAGAAUAAUAUGUUUAUGGGUUUUGCACCCAUUGUGAAUGGAUUAUUUGUUUUAAAUCUUGAUGGUUCACGUGUCUGUAAUGUAAGUGCUAAAAGGCCUCGGCCUAAUGAUUUGAGUCCUACCUACUUGUGGCAUUGUCGUUUGGGUCAUAUAAGUGAAAAGCGCAUUAAGAAGCUCCAUUCUGAUGGACUUCUAACUUCGUUUGAUUUUGAAUCAUACGAGACAUGUGAGGCUUGCUUGCUAGGCAAGAUGACCAAGACGCCUUUCACAGGAUUUUCUGAGAGAGCAGUAGACUUGUUGGAACUCGUACAUAGUGAUGUAUGCGGACCAAUGAGCACGACGGCUAGAGGAGGAUUCCAAUACUUCAUAACUUUCACUGAUGAUUUUAGUAGAUAUGGCUAUGUCUACUUGAUGAGGCAUAAGUCUGAAACCUUUGAAAAGUUCAAGGAAUUUCAUAAUGAAGUUGAAAAUCAGCGUGGUAAGAAAAUUAAGGCCUUACGAUCUGAUCGUUGAGGCGAGUAUUUGAGCCACGAGUUUAGCAAUCAUCUAAAGAGUUGCGGAAUUGUUCCACAACUUACGCCGCCUGGAACACCUCAGAGAAACGGUGUGUCCGAGCAACGUAAUCGAACUUUGUUAGACAUGGUUCGAUCAAUGAUGAGCCAGUCGGACCUACCGUUGUCAUUUUGGGGAUACGCUCUAGAAACAGCAGCUUUCACACUUAAUAGGGUACCAUCUAAAUCCGUAGUUAAGACACCAUAUGAGAUAUGGACUGGAAAGGUUCCUAGUUUGUCUUUUCUAAAGAUUUGGGGAUGUGAAGUGUUUGUCAAGCGACUUCAAUCGGACAAGAUCACACCCAAGUCGGAUAAGUGCAUUUUCGUGGGAUAUCCAAAGGAAACUUUGGGAUAUUAUUUCUACAACCGAUCAGAAGGCAAAGUGUUUGUUGCUCGGAACGGGGUUUUCCUAGAGAAAGAGUUUCUCAAAGGAGAAAAGGGUGGAAAGACAGUGCAUCUUGAAGAAGUUCAAGAUGAGCCGAUCGGGCAAGAAUCAAUGAGUGAUGCUAAUGUAGCAGAACAAGUUGAGAUACCCAUGGCAAGAGAAGCACCGCCACAACCACGAAGGUCGGCAAGGCUCCGCGAAAUGUGGGAAAUAUUAUUGUUGGAAAAUGAUGAGCCUGCGACAUAUGCAGAAGCAAUGAUGGACCCAGACUCCGAAAAAUGGCAGAAUGCCAUGCAAUCCGAAAUAGAGUCCAUGGGAUACAAUCAAGUUUGGAACUUGGUUGACCCACCUGAUGGUGUUAAAGCCAUAGAGUGCAAGUGGAUCUAUAAGAAGAAAAAGGACAUGGAUGGAAAUGUUCACAUCUAUAAAGCAUGACUUGUCGCAAAAGGUUUUCGACAAGUUCAAGGAGUUGACUACGACGAGACCUUCUCGCCCGUAGUGAUGCUUAAGUCCAUUCGGAUUAUUCUAGCUAUAGCUGUAUAUUUCGAUUAUGAGAUAUGGCAGAUGGAUGUCAAGACAGCUUUCCUGAAUGGAAACCUAGCUGAGGACGUGUAUAUGAUACAGCCCGAGGGUUUUGUCGAUCCGAAAAAUGCUGGAAAGGUAUGCAAGCUUCAGAGAUCCAUUUAUGGAUUGAAGUAAGCAUCUAGGAGUUGGAACAUUCGUUUUGAUGAAGUAGUCAAAGGGUUUGACUUCACCAAGAACGAAGAAGAGUCUUGUGUUUACAAGAAGGUUAGUGGGAGCUCUAUAGUAUUUCUAAUCUUAUAUGUGGAUGACAUAUUACUGAUUGGAAAUAACAUUCCUAUGCUCGAGUCCGUAAAGACUUCACUGAAAAAUAGUUUUUCGAUGAAGGACUUAGGGGAAGCGGCAUAUAUUCUGGGCAUUAAGAUCUAUAGAGAUAGAUCGAGAAGGCUUAUAGGUUUAAGCCAAGAUACUUACAUUAACAAAGUGUUGAAGCGGUUCAGCAUGGAAGAGGCAAAGAAAGGGUUCUUGCCUAUGUCACAUGGCAUACAUCUCAGCAAGACUCAGUGUCCUUCGACUGCUGAUGAGCGGGAUCGCAUGAGUAGAGUGCCAUAUGCCUCGGCUAUUGGAUCUAUCAUGUAUGCAAUGAUAAGUACUCGCCCAGAUGUUUCAUAUGCGCUAAGUAUGACAAGCAGACACCAAUCUGAUCCAGGUGAGAGUCACUGGACAGCGGUGAAAAACAUUCUUAAGUACUUGAGAAGGACUAAAGAUAUGUUCCUUGUCUAUGGAGGUGAGGAGGAGCUCGUUGUAACAGGUUACACCGAUGCUAGUUUCCAAACCGACAGAGAUGAUUCAAAGUCACAAUUAGGAUUUGUGUUCACGCUAAAUGGUGGUGCUGUUAGCUGGAAGAGUUCCAAGCAGGAGACGGUGGCCGAUUCUACGACAGAAGCCGAGUACAUCGCAGCUUCGGAAGCCACGAAGGAAGGUGUUUGGAUAAGGAAUUUCCUCAUUGAGCUUGGUGUGUUCCCGAAUGCGUCCAGCCCAUUGAAUCUCUACUGUGAUAACAAUGGGGCAAUUGUGCAAGCAAAGGAGCCAAGGAACCACCAGAAGAACAAACACGUAAUGCGGCGAUUUCAUCUCAUUCGAGACUUCGUUAACCGAGGUGAGAUCAAGAUAUGCAAAAUACACACGGAUCUGAACAUUUCUGAUCCGUUGACAAAACCACUCCCGCAGGCUAAGCAUGAUGCGCAUGUAAGAGCUAUGGGUAUUAGGUACCUUCUAGAUUGACUCUAGUGCUAUGGGUAUAAGGAACCUCUAGCAGUCCGGCUUGCGACGCUUCCUCCCUGCACGUGUGGAUACCUUGGAGGUGUUGCGCCUGCAGCACUUGGACGAGCCGCCGACGAGCCACGACGAGCCGACGACGAGCCGCGGCACCGGAGGCGAUCUUGUUGCACAUAGACGAGCUGCUGGACGUGAUCGACUACGUACGACUACGUUGAUCGACUACGUACGACUACGUGAUUGUCUUCACUGCAUCGACGCAUAUCUACAUCUUCCGCACCAGUAGUGCGUCGAGUGGUAAUCCCGUGAUCCUUAUACGGCAGUACUUCCUGGUUAUACGCGGUAGAAUUUUUGAAUUGCGCUAGUGUAGCCUACCUCGUAUCCCAACAGAAACAACCAACUCCUAUAACUCGCGAGUGAUAGGAAAUUACUUGACUUUUACCGAUUCCUAUUUAAGCAUAGCAACUACUCGGCCCAACAAACUAGUGUUCAAAUCAAAGGAACUAUGUCAUGCAUCUAUGGUUGCAAACAACUCCUAUACGUAAAUGCACAAACACGAGAAGGAAGGCAUGUGCAAGUUUAGAAAUUUGGGGUUCAUGCUCCGGGGCUUGCCUUCAAGCGGAGGGGAGGAGAACUGGUCUUCAGCUAGGGCGGCUUCGGCUUCUGGAACUAGCGCUCAGCUACAACUCCAUCUUCGAGCGCCGGGUGUAGCUCGUAGAUGCCAUCAGUGAGAUGUAACUCUACACGAAUGCAAUGCAGGAGUUAGUGUUUAUACGGUUAUUUCAACAACACUUGCAGUUUAAGCUCGGACACUUGUAGCAAAGCUACAGAAAAAGUGGGGGAAGUUUACUUUAGUUGGUGGAGAGCAAGAUAAAAGGGUCAGAUGGGGAUAAACUUGUGAUCUAACCCUUAAACCUUAAGGGAUAACUGUGUUCGGGGUCCUCAGACUUAACUCAGAGAAAUCCCGAUCUUUUACACAAAAACUCUCGGGUGAAGGAAAAGGAUACAACCGAGUCCUCGGGCGAGGCAGAUAAGGGUCGGCUAAAUAGAUAGGGUCGGGCGAGAUGGAAAAAGGGGUUGGACGAAACAGACAGAGUCGGGCGAGACGGAAAAAGGGGUUGGGCGAAACAGACAGGGUCGGGCGAGACGGAAAAAGGGGCUGGGCGAAACAGACAGGGUCGGGCGAGACGGAAAAAGGGGUCGGGCGAACCAGAAGGGGGUCGGCAGCUUACCUUUAGGUCUACUGGUGAAGGCUUGGGGUCGGGAAGGAGCAAACUUUGGGCGGAGGUCUUAAGCACUAAGGCUUGGGCGGCGGCGAUGUCCGGUGGUGCUCCGGCGGUGGCGGAGCUUCUUGUGGGCAACAAGGAAGCUCUAGCACAGCACGGAGGAGCAAACGGCUGGGUGGAUUGGGGAGAAGCGGACUUGAGCGGAGAGGGGAACUUCUCAAGAGUUUCAGUGGGAUUGCUCAAGUGUGCUCAAAGUAGGGGCGGCGAAACAGCAAAGGCGAAGGAACUCCGGUGGAACUCUGGCAUUCCCUUUUAUAGCGGCGUGGAAGAGAGAGAUUUCGAGCAGCACGAUGACUGGGAAGAAAAACAUGGAGUGCGCUGCCAUGGCGGAGAUUGAGCGGCGAUGGGCGGCGGAACAGGGCUUCGAAGAUAGCGUCUUCAGUCAUUGGGCACUGGAGACAAGGCGGCGCAGGCGCGGUUUUGCCGGGGUUUAGAUUUGGCAGAGGCGGGCAUCGUCGAGCAGCGGAUUUGAUUGGUGUGACAGGGAGAAAGGCGCUACAAGCGAGGUUGCAACAGGUGAGAAGACAGGGCGAAUGGCGUCGCGGUCGAGCACGAAACAGUGGCAUUGCCGGAGCACGGCACUGGUGGGGCGAGAAAAGGAGCUGUCGCUGCCGGAGUCGGGGUUGGCGAGGGAGGAAUCGUCGCGUAGCGAGUUCGUGGGCGGCGUGACUGUGGAGAGGCGGCAAAAAAACCGGAAGGCAUCGGGUCUUGCAGCCAAGGAUCCGGUGAGAUGAUGAUGGGCGCUCGUUGCGAGGCGGUCUGACGCAGCAGCGGCAAAGCUCUGCCACGGCGGCGACGGGGCACCAUGGCGCGGCCGGUGAGGGCGCGAGUGAGACGAGGCGAUGCAGAAAGGGUUGCAGAGGGGCUUCCGCUACGAUUGGGGAGGAGGGCGCGGGAAUCCAUCCUAUCGCGGUCGGCGACUGGGCAAAGCGGCAAGCGUCAGAGAGAUCAAGCCACGCGGCAGAGAAGCUCUAAAGCGGGCACAUGCUGCUCGAGCGCGUCUGCCUCGGUAGAUCCGAGGAAGAGAUUUGCGGGUCCACCAGUCAGUCUCGGUUUUUCCUCUGCUCAAGAUGGAAAGGAACACUGCCUUUGUUGGGAUACGAGGUAGGCUACACUAGCGUAAAUCAAAAUUUCUACCACGUAAAACCAGGAAGAACUGCCGUAUAAGGAUCACGGGAUUACCACUUGACGCACUACUGGUGCGGAAGAUGUAGAUUUGCGUCGAUGCAGCGAAGACGAUCAACGUAGUCGUACGUAGUCGAUCAACGUAGUCGUACGUAGUCGAUCACGUCAACGUCCAGCAGCUCCUCAGCAGCUCGUCCACGUGCAGCAAGAUCGCCCUCGUGCCGCGGCUCAUCGUCGGCUCGUCGUGGCUUGUCGGCGGCUCGUCCAAGUGCUGCAGGUGCAACACCUCCAAGGUAUCCACACGUGCAGGGAGGAAGCAUUGCAAGCCGGACUGCUAGAUCCGCGAGGUGCAACAGGCGAGGGCGUAGGAGGCACGGCAGAUGUGUUUCGCCAAAAGGUGUAAACCCUAGGGCGCCCCCACCCCUCUAUUUAUAGAGGUUCCUAACGAGCCUCUGGGUCCGAGGCCCAUUAGUACUUCUAAACCUAAUCCAACUCGGAUCACAUCCGAAUUGGGCUUCCAGCCCCUUAAGUGUGUGACCCUAUGGGUUCGGAUACGUAUAGACAUGGCCCGAGUACUCCUACUCGGCCCAAUAGUCGGUAGCGGCCUCUAGCAAGACGUGCCAACUCCUAUACGCACACGAAGAUCAUAUCAGACGAACCAUCACAACAUAAUAUACAUGCUAUUCCCUUUGCCUCACGAUAUUUGGUCUAGCUCCAAACCGACCGCUCUUUCUCGAUCCUGUGAUUCGGAAUCCCUUUGUAGGUUAACUCUUAACCGUACGUAGCAUGGCCAUGCAUUUUCGGAUCCAAUCACUCGAGGGGCCCAGAGAUAUCACUCUCAAUCAGAGAGGGGCAAAUCCCAUCUUGAUUGACCAUGUCUCACAGCAUGCUUCUUGACAAACCCGAAAGCUACCUUUAUAACUACCCUGUUACGGCGUAGCGUUUGAUAGCCCCUAAGUAGGUCGAUCCACAUCUUGAAUACAUGUGACAAUCUCUGGUCUAAGGACAAAGAGUAUAUGUUGUUUAAAGAGAGAACUACUUCUCGUGUUGGGUCAGUCCUAGCACAUGUCUCCACAUGUGCCCACAUUAUUAGUUCAACAUCUCCAUGUCUAUGACUUGUCAAACAUAGUCAUCAACUAAUGCAUGUGCUAGUCUAAUAUUCAUGUGUGUCCUCACCUGAACUCCGACUAGGGACAACUUUAGAAUAACCAUACAAGUAAAGAGUUUCACAUACAAUUCACAUAAUUGCAAAUCAAUUCAAGUAGCCUUUAAUGGAUAUUCAAUGAACACAAUAUAAAUCAUGGAUACAAAUGGAAUAUCAUCAUCUCUAUGAUUGCCUCUAGGGCAUACCUCCAACAGCCUUUGGGAUUCAGAAGGAACCGACGGGGUUGGUUGGGUUCUUUAGGGGUUGGGGUCGGAAACUGCAUGUUGAGCGCUUAAGCUCAGGGGAGCUGAGUCAGUGGAAUUAGAGACUUGGAUUAGGAUUAACUCGGAUGAUUUAACCAGGGUCGUUACAGCCUACCCCCCUUAAAAAGAAUCUCAUCCCGAGAUUCGGGUGUAAUGGUAACCAGUGGGGGUGUGCAGUCCUUACCUCCUUGGGUGAAAAGAAAACCUCGGAAGUGUUUGUUCAGAUACUCUUCUGUUUCCCAGGUUACUUCUUCCUCUGUGUGGUUGUUCCAUAGUAUCUUGUACAUUUUGACUGUUUGCCGUCGGGUAUGUCUUUACUUUCGGUCGAGGACCUUGGCUGGAUACUCAGUGUAAGUUAGGUCGGGCUCGAUUUGAAGUUGCUCCUAUCCCAAGAUCUCAGUUGGGACUUGGACACAUUUCUUCAGUUGGGAGACAUGGAAAACAUCAUGAAUGGCCGAGAGCUAUUCUGGGAGUUGGAUCCGGUACACAACGGGUCCACAAAUUUCCACAAUCUCAUAAGGGCCAACGUAACGGGAAGCCAAUUUUCCUUUUACUCCAAACCGUUGCACUCCUUUAGUCGGGGAGACUCAAAGAUAUACGUGAUCACCAAUAUCAAACUGCAGGGGUCUCCUUCUCCUGUCGGAGUAACUUUUCAGUCAGGAUUGGGCGGCCUUGAGAUUUGCUUGAAUUAUCUUCACUUGUUCUUCUGCUUCUACUACUAAGUCACAGCCGUAGGUCUGUCUUUCGCCAACUUGUGACCAAUUCAACGGUGUGCGACAUUUCCGACCAUAUAGGGCUUCAAACGGUGCCAUCUUCAAGCUAGUCUGAUAGCUGUUGUUAUAAGAGAACUCUGCCAACGGUAAGCACUUAUCCCAAUUCUUGCCAUAGUGGAUGACACAUGCUCUCAACAUAUCUUCAAGGAUCUGAUUCACUCUUUCGGUCUGACCAUCGGUUUGAGGGUGAUAAGUAAAUCUACAAAAGAGCUUGGUGCCAAGUGAUGCUUGUAGCUGCUCCCAAAAACGCGCUACAAACUGAACACCUCGAUCAGAUAUGAUCGUCCUAGGCACACCGUGCAGGGAAACAAUACGGUCAAGAUACAACUCUGCAUAUUUCUUGGCCGUGUAGGUGGUGUGAACCGGAAGGAAGUGGGCAGUCUUGGUAAGACGAUCCACAAUCACCCAAAUGGAAUCAUGUCACUGCGAUAUAAGGGGCAGUCCAACAAUGAAGUCCAUGCUGAUGUCUUCCCAUUUCCAAGAGGGAGAUAGAAAGUAACAGCCACGCACCUACAAGAUGGAAGCAACAUUCAUCGCUAAGAGGAGGCUGUGCGCCUCUGCCUGCAAGGGAGAAAUGGCUGAGCAUUUGGCUCUGAUUUGAAGAGACCAAGAAGGGUGGCUUGUGCGUUGUAGCAUUGGUAAAGAGAAUUCCCAAGCCAGCCUUUUGAUUUACAUAUGAUGCGUCAAUCCUGCAGCAAAGGUUGCUAGAUAAAAGAUGUGAAAAAUAAAUAUCAUCUUGUAAGUAAUGUGAUGUGGUCAGAAUGUUCAUGCUUUGGUCAAUACGAUACGCUUCAUAUUGAGCUUUUUGAGAAGCCUUUGCUUGGUAAAUGAUAGUGUGCACAGAGCAGUCUUUACGUUGAAACCUAUGAUCAUUUCUUGCUUUCCAAAUGUGCCAAAGGAUGUAACAGGAUGUAACAAACAACUGAUCCUCUUCACAAGUAAGAUUUCUAAAAGUCAACACCACUUCUUCUGGCAGUCCUGCCACGCCCAACCGCACGGGCCAUGUCGGCCUGAAUUCGUAUCUGUCCGAUCGUGUAAAUCCGUCCUUCCGUGAGCAGGUAGGUAGGCACGCAGUAGGUAGGCAUGUGAUUUUUUUGCAAAAAAGCUCUCCAAUUUUUCAUUAAUCGUCUUGGGGUCCACGGAGGCCCUCCUCCUAUAGUAAACAUGUUCGAUUUAUUUGCAACACGCCCCUAGGUUUCAGAAUAUUUCAAUAUCAAAAGAGAAAAUCCUGAUUUUGCGCCGUUUUUAAAAAAAAAAACCGUCGGCCGACCAUUUUGCGAAGAACCCUAAUGCGUGCCCGGCCUUGAGCUGCCGUCCUCUCCCAAUUCUAUCUUAGAAAAAUUGGUUUCAUAGCCCUCAAAGAUCACUACUUCCAUAAAACACCAUUAAAAAGUGGUGAACCGUUCCUGAAAAUACCAUUGGGUUACCUUUUAUGGCUAACAGGAACCUUUUUCUGUCUACAGCGCAAAGUGCAUUGUCGUUUCUACUCCUUAUCUUCUUCCUUACCGUUCUCCAUCUCUCCUGUUACAGUAGCAGGCCAUGCUAGGUCGCCGAGGCGCUCGAGGUUGGCUCCUCCCAUCGCUGGCGGCGCGAACUUCACAGCCGUGGUCCUCGCGAGGGCCGUCACCGUGCUCUCCGUCGCGCCGUCGGCCGCGCUUGUCUCCUUCAACGCACACGCGAGGCAAGGCCAGCUGCGCCGCAUCCUUGAGCUCAGCCCGCCCCUCUGCAGCCCAGCCGCCGCAUGGCCGCCCACGAGAUGGUCGUGGCGGGGCACACCUGUGCUGCUGUUGCGCGCGUUUGUCCAGGGAUGCGCUGUGUGUUGCUGGUGGCCGCGCUCGCCAUGCGUAUGCCACCAUGCUGGUUCUUGCGCUCUACAUGCAUGUGCUCCUCGCGUGCUAGGAGCAUGGGAGGCUGGGACAUGCCCGCUGGGUGUCUGGACCAAGGAAAGAUUGGAGAAGCUAGCGUUUGUUCUGAUGACUGGUGCGUGUGCUGACCACGGACAUUUUAGUCCAAAUUAACAUUAUUGAUGCCAAAUUCUAACCGGGUGCUAUUUUAUGUAACGUUUAACAUUAUUAGUCCCUUUCAUCUGUCUCUCUCCCCGGACUCUAGCGACCGCCGCGGCUGCGCCCCGUCUCCCACUCAUCCUCCCUCCGUCUCCCCGGUUCACAUCUCUCGUUGCUCACCCCUGUGAACGUCCUCGCUGCCUUUUCUUCCUGGCGACCCAGCCCUGUCAAACAAUUCUUUUCAAGAACUGCCAAAUAUGAUUAUUGCUUUCCUGCAGUCCUGUGAUCAAUUAUGUGCCAAGAUUACCAAUUCUCUCGCUCAAAAAUUUGAGUCAUGCUUCUGUAGGUCCAGCUCCCAGGGAACUGUAGAUUUCUGGUUUCUUCAACUAGUGUUGUCCCUAUUACAAUGUGCACUCAGCACUGUUCAGAACUAGUGUUGUUUACUUGUCCUGGGUUCCUCCUAAACACGAGCAAGCAGAUAGGUACAGGUAGCUUGGCCAAAUUAUGUCAUAUAUGCAUCUACAUGUUUGGUGUGUGUAGUCUGAACAUUGUGUGUAGUCUAAACAUUUGAACAUAGUAUAAAAUCUUGUAUAUCAAGAUGCACUGAAUAUAUGUCUCACAUCAUCUAGCACAACAAGUUCAGACAAGUGCUUGCUAAAUCUCUCCGACUCAUGGCUGACUAAGCUUUUCAGUACAAGUGAUCCCGGAGAGAAUACAAAGCUUCAAAAUUACAACUUUUAACAAGUUUACUUUUGAGGGAUUUUAUAGUAUCCUACACUACUGGUAUGAGGAUGCUAGUAUGCAAGUAUGCAAGUAUGCGCCUGCAGGGGCGGAUCCAAAACGGAGAUGCACCCGGGCUAAGUUGCUGAAUCACAGCCAAAACAGUCUAAUCUUACCUCGUAAACCUCCUUUUGUUAAGCUAAAUACCACAUAUGUUAAAGGGACUACAUGGGCUCGCCCCGGGCUGCAGCCCAGGCAGCCUGGGCCCUAGAUCCGCCCCUGUGCGCCUGUACUGUCCAUAGCUGCAUAGCUGUUGCACACAGCCAUUCAAAACUGUGACUAAUUCUGAAUAAUUAGUGUGCUGCAAUCAAAACGGUGCUGCAUAGCUGUUGCGCAUAUCUGCAUAGCUAAUGCACACAGGCAUUGAGAACAAGAACGGCUAUAUGCACAUUUGUUUUAGUCAGUGCUCGCAUUAGUCGUUGUCAGUGGUGCUUGAAUUUUUUUUGUUUAACGAACCUGAUGUUAUAUCAAUUCGUGUAUUCUAGUUGACAUCUCAAUCUUGCAUUUACAAUCAAUAUAUGAUCUUCCCCUCUAUUGUAGUUGUGGAGUCCAAGGACGGGAGGAUCUCAGUUGCUUCAGCAUUUGCUGGUCAUCAGGAAGGUGACAUUGCUGUUUCCUCACCCACUAGACUCUCUACUGUCUUGUCUGCUGCAUCUAUUGCUGCCUGCUCUUGCUGGUGUGCUUGGGAAUAAAAUAAAAAAAUUUGGUGCAUGUACAUUUAUGUCUCGGUAUUAAGUAAACUCUGAUGCAUGUCCAAUUUUUAUUGUCCUUGAAUAUGCAUAUUAUAGGAGUUAGGAGAUAAUGGAAUCUUGGGAGGAUGAAGUUAGGAGAUUCAUGCUAGAGGAAGAAGAGGAUAACGAGCUAUUCCUAGUUAUGGUUCCUGUAAGUAUUCUUUUAUCAAUUAUCAUUUCAGUAGGAUACAUGCCAUUUGUCUAUGCAAUACAUAUCUUGUCACAUCUCUUGUCUGUAAUAUAUCUUGACAGAUAUAUGCAAUAUAUCUUGACAGUAAUUUUAACCUUGUCAAUACUAGUAUUACACCAUCCACUAUACUGUAACUUCUAAGAUGGUGGCAUGUAAUGGUCAGGCUUUCCAGUAAUAAUAGCAAAAAGAGUAUUCAUGUGAAUAUCUAUGUGCAUAUGUAUAUAUUUGAUCAUUUAAUUUUUUAUAUUAUGUACAAAUGUUUUGCUCAUUAUGUAGACCCCAUUCCUAUUCAGUUGGCAUUCAUAUAUUACGAGCUAUACAUAUCUUUGAAUUAUCUGAUCAUAUGUUAUAUGCAAGAUUUUAACUAUAUACCUAAAUUUUCUACAGAAUAAUUGAUGGAUCAAUAAUUAUCUGGUGCCUUAAUCAGCGGUGCCUGCGACUUGGAUGUGCUAUGCUGAAUUUAUUUAACUUGCAGUGCCUUAAUACUUGGUGAUUGAUAUUGCUUGUUGAUCUUUUAGACAUGUUACGGACCUUAUUUAUCAUUGCUAUUUUUCUGGAUUUUUUUAGUAUUUGUGAAUUGUGGACUAUUCUUUUUACACAAGAUUUGGGUGGGAGGUCCUAGCUCCAAACGGGGUGGGGGGGUGCCCAGCUCCGUUAAUUUAUCGGAGAGGGUUGUGCUGCCCAGGUAGCUCUGGCAUGAGCUGCCAAACGAGCUCUUAGGGUGCCAUGGUCCCUUCAAUACACUUGACGAGGUGAAACAUCUAUUCCAGUGAUGGAACAAGCCGACCCAUCGCUUGCGAAUCCGUUUUGUCUAGUGGCACGUAAUCGAAUAAAUAAGAAGACCUUUCGAUUUGAAGGGGAUUGGAGAGGGUUGAAAGGGAUUCGGAGGGAUUAAAUCAAGUCAAAAUCCCCCUCAAUCCCCUCCGAUCCUCAUGGGAAGGGGAUUAAUUGAACAAAUCCGAAAUAGGAAUCCAAGAGAGGAAGAGGAUGACGGAGGAGGUGGGCAGCGACGGAGGUGUCCGGUACUCGGUAGCGAUUUCGGUGGAGAGAGUCGGAUGAAACACUGAAACAUAACGGUAAUACCACCCCAUCCGAGUAGUAAACUUCCAGGCCAUGAUAAAAAUGGCAACUACAAUCACUGCUAAUUUUUUUUGGCACGCCAGGAUUUCACUAGAAACUAUCCCUAAUCCAUCACACAUCGUAAUUAUUGCAUAAGUUACAAAAAAAAGACGAUAUACCACAACUUUAACACAUGAGAUAGAUUUAUCGGACCCACAAAAUAUUGAAAUAUUGCAGAUUUCCCCCCCGAACUUGGUUAUUUGGAAAACUUCUCCAACAUGCUAAAUUAAAAAAAAAGAUUUGACAACCAUACUUUCUGGCAGAAUUACGGAGAUUAGCACUAGCUAAACGAGGGAGAGUAGCAAAGCUAUGUGAAUCAUAGCUUAAGAAAAGGAAAAACACCUAACAUUUGUCACCAUAUACACUUGCUACAUGGCUCGAUGACUUUCAGGUUCACAGCUGGGGGCACUCUCCCCUCGAUGUAUCUCUGAAUGGCAACGCGGGCCCUUUUAGCCUCCACAAGUGCCUCCUUACCCAGCUGCAGGCACUUAUCAAACUUGACAAGCCUCCUAUCGUACCCACGGGUAGUGUCUAGUGUAAGGCACGCCAGUGCCUUUGUUUUCUCGAUAAUACAGAUCGUGAGCUCAAUCAUGCUCUUCGCAGAGCAAAAGCCGGUUAUCAUCACAUUCUUGAGGUUGUCAUGGCACUGUUCUUGAAGGCACUGUGGACGUGAGUAGCCAUUUGAGUCUUCAAUAACUGAAUCUCGCCUUAUUGUCGGCUGCGCAAUCUGCAUAGGUAUACAUGAUAUGUCAGAGUGUAUAUUCAAUAAUAAUCAUAAAGUUUCAACUAUACUGAAUAUACUGAUUUUCACCCUAAAUAUGAAGUUUUUAAGAUGGUAACUUGUCAGAGUGAUGUCAUACCCGUACAAUAAGAGACUCCAAGGCAGGAGAAGCAUCAAGAAAAGAAAUAAGAGAGCAGAGAUCAUAGUCUUGGGAAAACUUUAAUGUAGAGACCACUAUCUCCAAGUACUUGAGCUGGAUGAAUUUGCCAAACACCUUUGGUGUAUUGACUGUCUGAAGAAAUAAAUGUCCCCCGAAGAUUAAUUGUGGACUGAGUAAUUGAGUAUUGUAAACAUAAAACUAUUAUUCUACCAUCAGUUUCAUUUCCAGAACAAUGAACUUAUUGGGAUGGAUAAAACUGACCUCAUCACUUGUUGAUAGCACAAGAGUUUGGAGAUUUGGCGCGAUGAAUGGAAAUUUGGUACUAGCAUAAUAUAGCGCAUCAGGUGAAAAGUCACGGAAAAAACUUAUUUUUCUCACUUGCAAUGCUUCGCCAAGCAAGAUAUGUAUUGGGCGCCCAGCAAAGAAGAAAGUGGAGAGGUUAGGGGCAUUGCUGUCAAUCAUUUCCAGCUUACUGCAACCCACCAAAUGCAGGAUAUCAAGCUUCUGCAGCAGACAAGGUAUCUUCAAGCAAAUUAUAUCAUUGCAGUUGGUAAGCCUUAGUUGCUCCACAGCACAAGAAUUGGAUAGAAAACCAUAUAGUUCCUCUCCAGUAAUGUGUACUGAAUGCAAUGCCAAAUUUGUCAGGCUACUCAUAUAACCAACUUGGGCUGCACAGCGAAAAGAACAAUCCCCAAGCACAAAAGUCUGGAUGGAGCUUCUUAUCUCCCUACUAAAUAAAAGUAAUCCUGGGAAGUUGUACUUUAUCCCACAACUAAACACUGAUAGAUAGAUUUCUUUGAUCCCAGGUGUAAUGGCACAUUGAAGCCAGCGGUCAACAUAACUAGGUUGGAGAUUCGAACAAGGGUAGGUUUCCAUUACAAACCUCUUCACUCCCAUGCUAGAGUGAUUCUGCAUAAUGUGGUCAACUCUACAUAUGAAAUCCCUUUUUAUUUCAUCAUCAUUAGAUGUGUUUUCAUUAAUCCCUAGAGAACCAACAGAAAUAAUGAGAUUUGGAAAGCAUCUCCAAGAACGCAGAAAACCACGAGACACGCAGGCGGCCUGAGCAGCAUCUCGCAAUGGCAUGAGGGCGUGUAUUUGAUGAAGAAUGUCCUGUGAAAAUAAGCAUGGGAAAUUUUUCAAAAAAAAGCAUGAGAAAAAUAACGAAAAUCUCAAGAUGGUUGUGGUAAUAAUGCUUGUCUGAAGUGAGCAGUAUGGACAAAUUACGAUCGAAUUAGCUAAAUGUGUUCUGUUUUAAAAAAUACAGUAUUGAAUUGUGCUAUCCUGGGGGUAUCCUCAUUUUCAGCAGGUAUAACAUAAAAAAAAAUUCACAAGCAACAACCAUCAUAAGAUGAUAAGGCAAGGUAACGACAAUUCAAAAACAUCAACCAUGGACCAUUGUACAACCCUGGACCUCAUAGUGUGAAUGUCAGAUGCACUACCAAGUUCUUAUAUCCAAAAUGCCACCACCAAGCUAGCAGUAAUGACAGUGGGGGUGGUUAGUUCUAUCACUUGCUAUAUAGUGCUCUGAGAAAAAACUGAUUCAUCCUAAUAACUUACACGAUAUUAUCUCAUACCUCUGGAAGCUGGACCUGUGAUCCCAUUGUUUCGACGCAAUGCGAAAUAUCUCCUUCUAGACUAGGCGAUACCAUUAUUUGAGAUGCCGAACAAUUUGAUCCAUGACCUGCAAAUCAGGAAUGUCAUGAGACAGAAGGGACAAUGGCAAGGAAAACAGCAAACACGAACACAAUUGCACAUGCGCAGCACUUGGCUUAGAUGAUGCUUAAACUUCUGCUCGAGAACAGUUGAGCAGACAGAACCUAGGUUCCAAGAGUUGGGUUAAGAACAUCCUUUAUACGCAAAGUUACCUAAAAAUUAUAUCUUUAUGCGCACAAUCACCUCAAACAUAUGUCUCUGCACAAAAUCAUCAGCGUAGAGGGAUCUUUGUUCGAAACCUAGCCAGGCCACAUGAAUCUACUUAAUUCGACCAGUCCCGUGGCUACUUCUAUCCCAGAAACAGAUGUAGAAAAAUUGUAAAUAAUAAUUGAUAUCUCAUAUGACAGCACUCACUAAUCAUGCAGAUAAGUAACGCGAGCAAACAGACACCAGGAUGCUUACGAGUUAUCUGGACUUGAGGCUGCCCCUCGGCGGACAGAGCCUUCAUCUGCUCCAGUAUCCCCAUGUCCGUCGCCCCAACAACCAAGCCAAGUCUCUGCACCCUAUGGCCCCUCGCCCCCUCUGCCGCUCGUGCAGCAAUCACGGGUCAGGUUUCUGCCGUGAGAAUCGGUACGCCACGGUAGCAGGGAUAUGUGGAGCUGGGUGAAUCUUUGUGGUGCUCGGUUACCGAGUCCGGUGCCAGAACGGCAGCUCCAAUGUGGAUGCAAAACGAACCGAGGGGAUAAUAAACAAGUAAAGGUUCGAUUUAGGCACUAGAGCAAUCGAACCGAGUAAAUUAAAAAAAAUAUGAGCCUUCCCUGGAAACCGCCGCCCUGGCUGGAAGCCGCGGACCAGCGGCCGCCACCGAAUCGACCUCUCGACGUCGAGAUGUCGCGGAGGAGGGCCUCG
rnacentral:lncRNA from 1 species